AUUGAACGCUGGCGGCAGGCUUAACACAUGCAAGUCGAGCGGGGGAGGUUGCUUCGGUAACUGACCUAGCGGCGGACGGGUGAGUAAUACUUAGGAAUCUGCCUAUUAAUGGGGGACAACAUCUCGAAAGGGAUGCUAAUACCGCAUACGCCCUACGGGGGAAAGCAGGGGAUCACUUGUGACCUUGCGUUAAUAGAUGAGCCUAAGUCGGAUUAGCUAGUUGGUGGGGUACAGGCCUACCAAGGCGACGAUCUGUAGCGGGUCUGAGAGGAUGAUCCGCCACACUGGGACUGAGACACGGCCCAGACUCCUACGGGAGGCAGCAGUGGGGAAUAUUGGACAAUGGGGGGAACCCUGAUCCAGCCAUGCCGCGUGUGUGAAGAAGGCCUUAUGGUUGUAAAGCACUUUAAGCGAGGAGGAGGCUCUUUUGGUUAAUACCCAAGAUGAGUGGACGUUACUCGCAGAAUAAGCACCGGCUAACUCUGUGCCAGCCGCCGCCGUAAGAC
rnacentral:rRNA from 1 species